GACUCACAGCUGCAUGGAGUAGGGAGACAUCUACCGUUUGAUUAAUUGUACUCAGCAACUUCAGGGACACAUAAAACAACUUUUUUUACAUUAAUUUUAAUAUUUUAGGACUGGGCCAAUUUACAGUUAUGAAUAACUAAAUCACCAUGUAGUCAAUGUGUAUGGUUUGACAGAAAAGUUAGAAGAGUCAAUUCAGUUUGGCAUAUUUUGUUGUGGACUUGAUCCAAUGUGUGGGUAUCGGAGUGAGGAUGAAGAAGAGUCUCCUGCAGCUUCAGCCAAUAUUAUGAGAGUGAAUUCUACCACCUGCAACAGGCUGAACGGACUUUUAUCAACCAGGUGUGUCCAAGUCUCCCCCUGCGCUGUCAGAGAGUGCUGUCCCCCGUAUGUGGAACCAAUCAUUCUUGGGCAUCAUGAAAACAACAUCUGACAGCCGCGGUCACCAUGGGCAUCGUCCCCUGUGACCAUCCUCGACGGGGGACCACAGAGGAACUACAAACCUACAAAUGAUAUCAGCUCACCUGGGCACAGAGACGGACAACAGAUCAGCUGGGUGGAGAAUGGACAAAGCAGCAACCAAGGAGUCAUCUGGGUCUGUGUAAAUUCAUAUUUCAAGUCUACCCCAGUGUCAGAUGCAGGGGAUUAUGUUGGCAGA